CAACCCUGACCAAGCCCAUAUUAGAAUCUCAGAGGCUAAUCCAACCUAAUCCGGUAUCAACUAUAGACCCAUGAUCAGGGCUUCCCGCCAUACCCACACCCAACGAUCAAUUUUAUAAACUUAGUUCACCUUGAAUGGCGAUCCUUCCUUCUCUACAGGGGGUUAAUCGGUUUUCUUUCUUACCUUAAAAGCCACCACCAAACGACCCCUGCACGCCUUCACCCUCCAUGUCAUCGCCCAUUCCCAGCCCCAAAACCCACAACUACCCCUUUCAGUCUUUGGAAAUCCCAACGAAACCCAGCCUUCAAACGGGAGAAGAGAUUUUGGCCAUUGAAGAGAUGGGAAAUCAGUAUGCUUUUUAAGCCUCUUUUGUCUGAUAAUUGCCAAGUUAGUCUUGGGACGGACGGGUUGACGCAUAAUAUGUUGGAUUUGAUACACACACAUUGGAAACGAUGAAGUGUUGUCAAAGUUAAAUGCAAAGCAAAAAAUGGACUGUACAUUACCCUAGUGAAAGAUGUUAAGAAUGCUUUUCAAGGAAGUCCAUUGGUGAGAAUUGACUGCAGAGAAAUGUGUGCAAAUGAUUACAAGAAAAUAGGUGCUAAGCUCAAGGUCUGUGCACCUUUGUAUUGGAAUUGAUUCCCUGCACGCCAUUGUCUUUUGAUAAUGAACGAAUUUUGAUGUGGAGAGGAAAUGAUUGGAAAAAUAUGUAUCCAGAAGGUCUUUCAGCUUCAAUGCCUGUUACCUUAGACGCAACCUGUGGGUUGGAUGGCCUAGGUAUGUGUUAGAGCUCGGGUAUACGUAAAGAAAAUGAGAAGAAACAAGAACAUCAAUCUAAAUACACAGGCUGUGAAAAUGCUAAAUAACUCUAGCAAUGGAAGUACAGGUGGCAAAGGUGUGGAUUCAACAAGUGGCAGCAUUUCAGAAAUGUUACAAUUAGCAGAGCAUGAUAGAAAGCCUGCAGGUGACAGCAAUUCAGAAAUAACACAAUCUGCAACAAAUCAGCAAGAAAAGAGGGAUAUGCAGAAAAAAGAGGGAGCCACGGUUAUAUUGGCUGAUGAGCUGGCGAAUUAGGACUGGAAAAACAACAGUAAGGAGAAGGAAAAGAUAAAGAGCCUGGAGAGUAUAAGGGGAGGGGAGACGAUUUUUUCAGAGAAGGGAGAAGAUUGAGGAGAGAACCAGCCUCUCGAAAGCUGGAAACUGUUCUUGGUUGUUCUUGUGAUUUCAAUUUGUCUUUUAUGCUUUUGGUUUGUAAACAAAAUGUAAAUGGUGCCAGUUAUGAGUUAAGUUCUAGUACAAUUACUCUUUGUUCUGAAUUUCAUGUGAUGAGUGCUCAAGUUUGAGGCUACAUCUUUAUUUUAUGCAACGUGAUCAAUACAAAUAGUAUUUUCUUCAA